UAAGCUUUACUGGGAAUAAAAUAGAGAUUAAUUCGAGUAUAAUUGCAAAUGUUAAAAGUGUUAGGAUUUGGUUAAAUUUGUAGUUAAUCCUAGUUGGAUAAGAAUUAAUAUUUAAAUCUAUUGGAGUUAAAUUAAAAUUUAAAUAUUAAUUACAGUAUGAAUCUAACUAGAUUAGAAUAAAUAUUUAAAUCUAUUGGAGAUAAAUCAAUUAAGAAAAUUAUUGGAGUAGGAAUCUUUUUUCGACUAGGAUUCGUGUACGUUUUAGAGGAUGCAUUGUAAAAGCACGUUUUGGGAUGUUUUUGGAGUAGAGAGUACAGUGAGAGAGAAUGCUUUCUUAGGUGAAACCAUACCAGGAGAGAAAGUAAUGGUUGCGUGCACUAGGUGCAUGCGUGCAUGUGAGAGAGAAAAAGAAAGAGUUGUCUUCUUUGUGGGUUUAUAGAAGACGAGAGAAGGGUAGGAGAGAUUCAAGAAAGAGGGCUCGGAUUGUAGUUACUCUAUGCAGAAGAGUAGUCAGGUGUAAUCUUAUCUUAUUUAAUGAAUCUUAUUUUAUCCGCAUAUUUUAUGUUUUGAUUUUUCUUUCUUUUGUGAUUAUAUCAACUUUUGUUGAGGAGACGGAUUUAUGAUAAAAACUCGAUUCGACAACGCCUCCGUUGCGGAAUCCCAACAAUCGGUACUGGAUCAACAACAGUCGAUAUCGGAGCGAAUUGCGGAUUCACAAAAUCCGGUACCGGGGUGAGUACCGGAUUCCCAACAAAAAGUACAAAGUUUUAAGCAAUAAACAAAUAAA
rnacentral:lncRNA from 1 species